rnacentral:tRNA from 1 species
ACAUUGGUGGUUCGGUGGUAGAAUUCUUGCCUUGCAUGCAGAAAAGCCUGGUUCAAUUCCCAGCCGAUGCA